AUUUCUCUUUCUCUCUCCAAAUGUACCGUACCCUCUCAUCCUCUUUCUCUCUCAAUUUUCUUCAUCAUCCUCCAUUGAUGAUCAUAUACAAAGCUUCAUAGAUCAUUUCUAUACCAUAAGCUUCCAUUAAAACGAGCUCUAAACAGCUAUACACUUCAAAUCAAGAGCAACUAUGGAAGGUUUUUAAAGCUUGAAGUCAAGAGGAUAUUUUCAUUUUCUACUCGAAAAUCAUUGAAUAUGAGCAGAGGACGGAAGUGAGCCCACCCCGAGAGCUACGAGAGUAAGAUAAAGCCAUCAUGUGGGCAUUAUUUUUACUAUAUGUAUAUAGAGAUCCCCUGCGUAUCGUAGGACUCUUAUACGAAAUGAAGUAAAUGACAUGAGUUAACUGAUAAAUUUUAGUUUGAUGAAAAUUAUUACUGUUGAUAAUGUUUAUGAGUAUGAUAAAUAAUUUGAGAUUUAUUGAUGUUGAACUAAUUGACUUGCCGAGUUUUGAUGACGAUGAGCCUGUAUGUCGCCCUCUACUGAUGAGACGAAUUCGGGUCCUACCGCAAGCGGGAUUGUGUAUGCAGAGGUGACCAUGAGCCGUCUCUCGGGUCGGCUGGUCAGAGGUGAUUGUGAGAUGUCCUUCGGGUCGGCCGGUCACGGUACUUGAGAAGGAGGCCUACUUCUCAGUACCUUAAAUGAUGAUGAUUUGUAGAUGUGGAUAAGCGAUGAGGGAGAUUGGACUAGUGCUGGCAGGGAUUUUAUUUCGGUUGAUCUUCCUUAUACCGUAAUUAUAUUCCUUGCGGUAACAUCAAGAUGUUGAAGUUUAUUUGGACUUAUUCAAAAAAUUCACUCUCGGCUAUAUGUCUUCAUACAUAUAGUCUGUUCGCAUUUUGCUGCGAUACUCUGUAUAUCCUGAGUCUUUGUCAGUAAUUAGCUAUAGCCGCUUUGUAAAUGUUGACGAGAAUCCCGAUAUUUUUGAAUUUAUGAAGCCAAUAAUAUUUUUAUUGA